rnacentral:rRNA from 1 species
UAGGGAAUCUUCGGCAAUGGGGGGAACCCUGACCGAGCAACGCCGCGUGAGUGAAGAAGGUUUUCGGAUCGUAAAGCUCUGUUGUUAAGGAAGAACGAGUGUGAGAAUGGAAAGUUCAUGCUGUGACGGUACUUAACCAGAAAGGGACGGCUAACUACGUGCCAGCAGCCGCGGUAAUACGUAGGUCCCGAGCGUUGUCCGGAUUUAUUGGGCGUAAAGCGAGCGCAGGCGGUUAGAAAAGUCUGAAGUGAAAGGCAGUGGCUCAACCAUUGUAGGCUUUGGAAACUGUUUAACUUGAGUGCAGAAGAGGAGAGUGGAAUUCCAUGUGUAGCGGUGAAAUGCGUAGAUAUAUGGAGGAACACCAGUGGCGAAGGCGACUCUCUGGUCUGUAACUGACGCGGAGGCUCGAAAGCGUGGGUAGCAAACAGG